rnacentral:tRNA from 1 species
GGCGCUAUGGCCAAGUGGUAAGGCAGAGGUCUGCAAAACCUUUAUCCCCAGUUCGAAUCUGGGUAGCGCCUCCA